GCGAAUGUGGCCGAGUGGUUAAGGCGUCUGCCUGCUAAGCAGAUGUGAUUUCACGCGUAGGUUCGAACCCUACCGUUCGCG
rfam:Strigomonas culicis Cont10700, whole genome shotgun sequence.